rnacentral:rRNA from 1 species
GUUACGGCGGUCAUGGCGAAAGGGAAACGCCCGGUCUCAUUCCGAACCCGGAAGCUAAGCCUUUCAGCGCCGAUGGUACUGCCCGGGGGACCGGGUGGGAGAGUAGGACGCCGCCGGACAAU